rnacentral:rRNA from 1 species
CCUACGGGAGGCAGCAGUGGGGGAUAUUGCACAAUGGGGGAAACCCUGAUGCAGCGAUGCCGCGUGAAUGAAGACGGCCUUCGGGUUGUCAAGUUCUGUCGCAGGGGACGAAAAUGACGGUACCCUGCAAGAAAGCCCCGGCUAACUACGUGCAAGCAGCCGCGGUAAUACGUAGGGAGCAAGAGUUGUCCGGAAUUACUGGGUGUAAAGGGAGCGUAGGCGGGAGGAGAAGUUGAAUGUGAUAUCUAUGGGCUUAACCCAUGGUUGCGUGCAAAACUGUUCUUCUUGAGUGAAGUAGAGGCAGGCGGAAUUCCUAGUGUAGCGGUGAAAUGCGUAGAUAUGAGGAGGAACACCAGUGGCGAAGGCGGCCUGCUGGGCUUUUACUGACGCUGAGGCUCGAAAGCGUGGGUAGCAAACAGGAGUAGAUACCCUGGUAGUC